UACUGGGCCAAACCUGCUUGUCAAAGCCUCAUCCUGUCAGAUCUCAGAAGCUAAGCAGGUCUGGGCCUGGUCAGUACUUACACAGGAGCCCGCUGGGAGUAUCAGGUGCCACAGUUG
rnacentral:rRNA from 1 species